rnacentral:rRNA from 1 species
GCAGAACGCGAAGAACCUUACCAGGGCUUGACAUAUAGGUGAAUAUUGUAGAGAUACAAUAGUCCUUCGGGACGCCUAUACAGGUGGUGCAUGGUUGUCGUCAGUUCGUGUCGUGAGAUGUUGGGUUAAGUCCCGCAACGAGCGCAACCCCUGUUGUUAGUUGCCAUCAUUAAGUUGGGCACCUCUAGCGAGACUGCCGGUGACAAAUCGGAGGAAGGUGGGGACGACGUCAAAUCAUCAUGCCCCUUAUGUCCUGGGCCACACACGUGCUACAAUGGUGAGUACAACGAGAUGCGAACCCGCGAGGGGGAGCUAAACUCAAAAACUCAUCACAGUUCGGAUUGCAGGCUGCAACUCGCCUGCAUGAAGCUGGAGUUGCUAGUAAUCGCGAAUCAGAAUGUCGCGGUGAAUACGUUCCCGGG